rnacentral:rRNA from 1 species
AGUGAACGCUGGCGGUAGGCCUAACACAUGCAAGUCGAACGGCAGCACAGUAAGAGCUUGCUCUUACGGGUGGCGAGUGGCGGACGGGUGAGGAAUACAUCGGAAUCUACUUUUUCGUGGGGGAUAACGUAGGGAAACUUACGCUAAUACCGCAUACGACCUACGGGUGAAAGCAGGGGAUCUUCGGACCUUGCGCGAUUGAAUGAGCCGAUGUCGGAUUAGCUAGUUGGCGGGGUAAAGGCCCACCAAGGCGACGAUCCGUAGCUGGUCUGAGAGGAUGAUCAGCCACACUGGAACUGAGACACGGUCCAGACUCCUACGGGAGGCAGCAGUGGGGAAUAUUGGACAAUGGGCGCAAGCCUGAUCCAGCCAUACCGCGUGGGUGAAGAAGGCCUUCGGGUCGUAAAGCCCUUUUGUUGGGAAAGAAAAGCAGCAGGUUAAUACCCCGCUGUUCUGACGGUGCCCAAAGAAUAAGCACCGGCUAACUUCGUG